CUCCAUUAAGUGCAAACAAAGGCCUUAUUGGUCUUAAGUGCAUGAAACCAUUGGUUGCAUUUCAGACCUAUUUGACUUUAAAUGCAUUUGAAGUGCAAUUUUUUUGAUAAGUCUAAAAUUGAUCAUAACAUGAUUAGGCUUGUAAUUUGUUUUACAAAGUGAAUAUAGGUUCAAUAUGAUCCCAAAAUUGGAUAUAGAUGCAAAAAAAAAAU
rnacentral:lncRNA from 1 species